AGCUAUAAGUUCUCUGUAGCGCAGCUAACGCAUUAAGCACUCCGCCUGGGGAGKACGACCGCAAGGUUGAAACUCAWAGGAAUUGACGGGGGCCCGCACAAGCGGUGGAGCAUGUGGUUUAAUUCGAAGCAACGCGAAGAACCUUACCAGGUCUUGACAUACUCGUGCUAUCCUUAGAGAUAAGGAGUUCCUUCGGGACACGGGAUACAGGUGGUGCAUGGUUGUCGUCAGCUCGUGUCGUGAGAUGUUGGGUUAAGUCCCGCAACGAGCGCAACCCUUAUUACUAGUUGCCAUCAUUAAGUUGGGCACUCUAGUGAGACUGCCGGUGAUAAACCGGAGGAAGGUGGGGAUGACGUCAAAUCAUCAUGCCCCUUAUGACCUGGGCUACACACGUGCUACAAUGGAUGGUACAACGAGUCGCCAACCCGCGAGGGUGCGCUAAUCUCUUAAAACCAUUCUCAGUUCGGAUUGCAGGCUGCAACUCGCCUGCAUGAAGUCGGAAUCGCUAGUAAUCGCGGAUCAGCACGCCGCGGUGAAUACGUUCCCGGGCCUUGUACACACCGCCCGUCACACCACGGAAGUUGGGAGUACCCAAAGUAGG
rnacentral:rRNA from 1 species